rnacentral:misc_RNA from 1 species
CUGUUCGAGCGUCAUUAUAACCAAUCACGCCCUGUGCGUGGACUUGGGGUUCGCGAUUCCGCGUCCCCUAAAACCAGUGGCGGUGCCGUUGGGCUCUAAGCGUAGUAAUUCUUCUCGCUACAGGGUCCCGCGGUUGCUUGCCAUAACCCCAACUUUCUUAGGUUGACCUCGGAUCAGGUAGGGAUACCCGCUGAACUUAA